AUUUUACUGUUCUUUGUGUUUAUCUAUCUAGCUCAUUUAUUCAACUAUGACUAUGCUAUUCAUUUUCUUAUGUCACAGGAUAUAGCUAGGCAUUAUUUAUAACUACUGUGGAGUACUAUGAUCGUUUGUAGUCUUUUAGCUAGCUAGGAGAGCAAGUGUUUGUGUUGUGCUUCUGUAUAUUCUCUUCUUUCUCCGUACACUCACAAUUCCUCCGUGAAACUUGAUGAUAAAUUAUGACGCGGGGCCACACCUCCUCUAGGUAAAUGUGGGUGUUACAUCCUGUCAUGCUGCAGGAAUGCAAUACGGGAGUAACUCAUUAGCAAAAAGGUCAACCUAUGUCGUACCUCCUCUGAUCUAUAGCUGACUUGUAUAGUUUUUUAUUAGAGAAAAAUCGGACAAGUGCAUCCCGAGACUUUUGAUCCUUUUCCUGGGAAAUGUUUUCUCCUUCUACGUACGUACCUAGAGUCUGCUACACACUGGUUACAGGUAUAUCUAUACGUUUGCUACUGAAAUGGUGGCUCAUGAUGUCCACUGCUGUAUACUAACUAGAUCGACUAAACAACGUAAGAGAUUACCCCAAAUUAAUGUGAGUAGAUCUUACGUUGUAAAUAAAGAUAUGAUUGGAAUUUCCAAGAGUGAUGGUAGUCUCGAUCUAAUACACAAAAAAAUUUUUCAUAGAAAGUACAAACAAUUACAAGCAGAUGUACAGACAAGUAGAAUAUUGAAACAUACAUGUAGUUAGUAAGUAGGCGUGUAAGCACGUAUGGUAAUGUCCAUCCAGCACAGGUGAUAGAGUGGGAGACCUGAAAAAAAUUUUUGAACAGCUUUAUGGCCAAACGAGUAGGUAAAGUACAAACGAGUAGAGAGUUAUACAUAAAACACGAGUUAGUAAAUCCAUAGAUAAAGCAAAAAUCUAAUAAUAUUAUGGGUAAAGUUGGUACAAACGAGUAGAAGAGUUAGUAAAUCUAGCUAUGCCCAUCCAGCAGGUGAUGGAAUGGGAGACCUGUGUAUGAGCAUGGUAUCGUUACCUCGCCAAAGAGCUAUACUGACCAAAGAGGUGUUUAGUGGUGACUAUGUCUCGGUCGAUGCCUGAAUGUAGACAAAUUGAUCGGCUGAUAUCGCGGAUGGUUGAGACGAAGUCCUCUGCUAAGCCUCCAAGGGUUUCGGCCACUAGAGGGAUGCAAGUCAAACCCACAAGUGGCAGCUGGGGAGAUUGGAAGCCAGCUUACGUUGGACGCCCACUUGGAGAGCGUGGCCCUGGGUCCAAUGUAAGAGACUGGAGGGGAGAAAUAACGUGAAUGUCAAGAGCGGCCGGGUGGCCGUUGAUCCAAUUAGGAAGGAGGACGUCUGCAGGGCGAGAAGCGGAGUCUGGAACCAGCCCUGGAGUUUCUUUUUGAAGGGCCCAGAGCAGCAGACUGAGCAGCGUUAAAAACAACGUCACGGAUGGCGAGGCAUUGUGACGGCUGAUACGGUCGCUGUUGCCCCCACAUCCCACCUGGUGAUCACCAAGGGAGUCAGCAACACCAUGACACUUGGGGCAGGUGAACUGCUCAUUGUGCAGCGGGACUCCUAGCAGUUAGCACAGGCAUGAGCGAAACUCACGAUGUUGGAGGUGAAGUCCAAGUGAGGGAGAGGGGAUUAAGCCAGUCGUGAGCAUGAGCGAGUCCAGUGGAGAGGGCCAGUGCUCGUGACCUAGUGGUGGGGGCUGACGCUUCAGCACGGAUUCAUCAAUGGCGCACGGCAGCAGAGAGGGCUCCCUGGCUGAGGUCGAGGAAUAUCGUAUCGAAAUCAAAUUUGUUCGACAUGCGCAUGCGCACUCAGCGCAGCCUAAUCAUCAGCUGGAAAAAAGAAUGGAGGAGGAUGAUAUGGAUAUGGAUGUUGAUACUUGCCUGAGAGGUUUUUGGAAAGAUGGAAUAUGUCUUUGUGACAGUGGUUAUGCUACACUGUUUUCUGAGUCAUAUCAUCUCCGCCCCUUGUAUUGCGACCAUCAUCUGUCAGAUCUUGAUACUGAAACCACCUGGGAAAUGGAUGGCAUGGAAUUCCUAUCAUAUGCCGUGAUGGCUUUAGCAGUUGGGAUUGGUGUAUUUGGUGUGUUGUCACUACUGGUGUUCUCAGUCCACCUGUGGUCACUGCUGUCUCUCAGCAAGGGAAUUAGCAGUGUGAGGAGAGACACCUAUGACUUCAUAUCUUCACUGGUCACACGUAAAGAAGCCAACCUUCACUGUGACCUUUGGGAACCACAGCUGCAUGUUUUUUCAUGUUUUACAGAUGUAACUAACAAAAAUACAUUAUUCUAUUGCUUUAAUUCAGAAAACACUAGAAAAAAGACGAAAAAUGCCAGAGUUGUGCAUACCUACAAUGCGCAAGAUAAAGAUGAGCUAACUCUGCUUCAGAAUGGUGAAAUCAUAUGUGAAGUCACCAAGCUGGACAAUGGAUGGUGCAAGGGUACACUGAGGACUCAAACUGGAUUUUUCCCAACAGCGUAUGUGGAGUUCCUUUGAAUGACCUGAAGCCUGAACACUGAAUAUAAUUUUAUUAGCAACUAUAAUUAUUAUACACAUAUCAGCAUGCACAGCUCGUUAAUUGCAGGUGUCUGGUAAGCUGUUUUCGGGAAAAUGAAGCGUUCUGUACUUAAUAUAAUUAUGCAUAGACAAUCGAAAACGAGAAUUUAAAGACUAUUAUAUAUACCACAUGCGAUCGUUCUGUACUUAUGCAUAGACAAUCGAAAACGAGAAUUUAAAGACUAUUA